UGCUUACAUAGAUUUCCUUUUAUUUUAUUUUUUAUUUUUUUAUUUAUCACCGCGUUAAUUGCUCCUUUUAAAGGUCACAUCCUGCAAUUUUGACAGACAGCAAUUCAUCUCUGUUACAUGAGUCUCAUAAACACUCAGUGUCACAUGUUUAAUCCUCUCACUGACACUGUCUAACAGGUAGUUUGGCCAAAAGAGGAUCAGAUCCUCCAUCAGGAUGUAUGCGUGUAUGAUUGAUUUGAUUUGUAUUUUAAUUGCCUAACAAACAAAAAAGAAGUAGCGUGAGCAAACGUCUCGCUUCCCUGCAAAAAGAAACUGCUUGUAAAUGAGUCAAUUUUAAGGAUCGAUUAGAUUAUCAUUUCGUUUCCACCUCAUAUCCACGGAUGAGUACAGCCGCGACCAGAGCGUAUUGAUCAGGCUUGGAUGUAAGAGGAGGCUGCCAAAGAUGAGAUCCGAUAAUGAAGGGCUUAUUUGUUUGGUUUAAAUUUUUCAAUUCAAGUUAUAGUUCUGGUAAUUUAAGGAUAUUUUUUGAGUCUGACCUAAAUUGCUAUAAACAGCUACGAAGGUUAAAAAAAAAAGAAAAAGAAAAAAGAAAGCUAAAAAUAUAGCCUAUGAAAUCAUAAAAUUACACAUUUUAAAGGGAAUAUCAACAUUUGCAUGAAGCAUUAAUGAGAAAGAGGCAGCUUUUAACAGAAACCUUACAGAAACGGCAGAUUGAUUUAUGAUGAUCACUUAGGCCUACCUAUUAGUCAUCGUUUAUUACUAUUAUUGCUAUUAUUAUUAUUGUUAGUAUUAUUAUCUUUAGUGUAUUAUUAUAAGAUUUUAUACGCCCACAUCAUUAUUUGGACCAAAAUUACAUUAUAAUAUUUGGCUAUUUUGAUUCAAUGAUAAUUAAAUUGUACUUUAAAGCGACUCUGGAUUGUAUUUAUUCCUAUUGUGUUCUUUAGCUUUUAUCGAGAGAGAGAAUGGUCAUAUAUCCUCAGCCUUUCUAACACCUUAAUUAGACACUCACUACUUUUUCAGCCUCAGAGCGCCUGGAUAUCACCCCAUACUGAUACACUCAAAUUACAAAUUCAAGCCAGCAUUUUUUUAUUUUUUUAUUUUUUUGCGCAGGUAACGUUCAGAUUAUAGUCAUCCUCUUUUUAUUCUCUGAACCUGCAGGCGAGCUUCUCGAUUCUCAGCUCCAACUUCAAAAGCGCCCAGAGCGAGUCGUGCCGUGCCGAGCCGAGCUGCUCUAAAACCUCUUCCCAGCGAGGCCGACCCAACGGCAGCCCCAUUAGGUCGUAAUGCUCUCUAAUAUAGCCCGAGUCCACCGUCUAAUAGAUCCAGGCAGGCCUGCCGGCGGCUCUCCCCCUUCGGUAAUAACGGGCUGUAAUGGAGAGACGAGAUGUAAAAAAGCGUCCAUGUCAGCAGCAUAUCGGUGGUUAAUGAUCUAUUAAGUGAUCCGUAUGCUUAUGGACAGCGAAAAAAGUGUUGAUGCUUGCUCAUUCGCCCCUAAUGAGAGUCCCAUCCUACGGAUUUUAGGAAUGAAUAACAGAAAUAAAAUCACCUUUAAAAUGUUACAUUUAACAGUUGACGCAUGGAGGCUGCAGUGGCUGCAGAGCUUCCCACAGCUCGCAUCUCACACCUGCAACAGGCCUGCUGGUUUCACACAGGAGGCCCAUGGGGUGUCUAUAGGAAGAGACGUGAUUCCCCUCACAAAUAUGGAUUUCUAUUCUGCUCCAGGACCUAUCCAUGCAUGUUCACCCGCUGUCCGAAAGCCAAGACCGCUGGAUCUGAUGAUGGGUUGUAUGGGAGGAUGCAGUGACUGUGAGGAAUACUUUUUUCCCCCUUUUACAUUCAGAAUCAGACUCUGUAUCUCACUCUGAGGUAAACAGUUGGUUUUAUUUGGUCGGUGUUUGGCCGUUUGGCGUGCGUAAUGAUUAACUCUAAUGGUCCCCCCCGACCAUUCCUGGAAAUGUUGCAGAACAAAACGGAAGGUAGCCGAGUUGGAAGGCCCCUGACAGGGAGAGUGAGGGAUGGAGAUGGAGAGACGGGGCUUUCGGAAGUCCUGCUUUGAUGAGCUUUGACGCAGGAUGGAGAAAGGAGACGCGCAAAGCUCGUGCAGCCCCGGCUUCAAAGUCCAAAAGUUUUUACCCGUAACCGCUUUCAUUAUACAGUGACUACUGAUUUUAACUGGUAGUAUAGGAUGCUCAGAGAUUCUCCUUCCCAACGCUGCCCCUGCAUGUCAUAAUCUCUGGACCUGUUGUCAUUCACCGGGGAUCAGAAGACGGUCACUUUUAUCAAACAUCUCUACUCUCCACUCUUCCGUAUCCCCUUUUAUUCUUCCUUUCUCCUCCUCUGUCCACUCUCCUUGCUGGGUGACCUCCUUGCCUCUUGGCUCUCUCACCCCUCUCCUCUGGCCCUGGCCCUGCCCACCCUGGGUCAUUUAUCAUGGGCCAGGAGGGGAGCCCCUGGGCCUGCAGGCCCCUGUCAGCCCCUGCAAUCGCCUCUUUGUGGCUCCUAGCAAACAAGUGUCGGAUCAGCAAAAGUCUAUUAAAGCCUGGUGGGCCUUUCUCAGCCAAUUGGGUUCGGGUCACUGAGCUGCUCUCCGUGCUGCUCCGAGAGCUCUUUGUGUCGCCGCCGUUCGCUGACACAGAUCCCCACAAGAUUAAUGAUUUUUAGCAGCCAUUUGGGUCUCAUUCGCAGGGUCCUUCUCGCUUUCUCUCUCUUUGCCCCUUUUCCACUUUUCUCCACUCAUUCUGUCCUCUUUUCUUCUUUAACCUAUUUCUUCUACUACUCUACCUCUGCCUCCUGAUUUCUCGUUUUUUGCUCUCAUGGUUUACUCCUUCCCUCCUCCCUUUCACUGUUACCCCAAUCAAUGUCGACCAAUUGUGUCUUCACUUUGUAAGCUCAUUAUCCAUACAAGUGUGAUUGCCACUACUGGUGGUCCCAUAUUUAUAUAAUAAUUGUCUCUGUAUUACAGAUUUUAGGAUACAAAGGAUAUAAAUUUCAAUUGCUAAAUAUGCUAUUUUAGUUAUUUGUUUCAGAGUGAUAAACUCCUCCUGUCUGAUAAAUCCAGAGGAUGUUAAGAAACCAACUCGAGCAUCCACAUUACAAUCCUGGCAGGCUUCCCCGCAGUGUGCCCCAAGAGGCUCAGAGUAAUUUGAAAUCUUCGAGCCACUUCCACGACUUCCAUGUUGCCAUGUUCUCAGUGUUGUUUCCAGUAAUUACUGCAGGUUAAGUGCACGUCCCGGAGCCCAGUGGAGGCAGCUCUAUCCCUCACCUGGGACAUGACUCAGCACAGUUCAGGUCAUCCGGCCAUUUCCCUGACCACUGGACCACACCCCGAUCUACUCUAAAGCCACAGGACAAGCACUAUUUAUGAAAGACUCGUGUUCACUUGCAUCAUGUAAUGUAAUGGUUGUUUUAUUUACUGGCUGGAUUUUUUCAGAAAGACAGCCUCACACUGACAUGUUUAUCCAUUUGAAGUCUAUAAACACAUUUAUUUUCUUUAAUCUAAAAUUUUGCAGUUUUUCUUAAACUUUAAGAGGAUUUGUAUGGUCUUUAAUGUUAAAUAUUUAAGAAGAUUCAUAUUUAAGUACAUAUCCUUUGUCCCUUCUCGCACAACCUUUUCCACAUGUGAACAAUAAAGGAUAGGUUCACAUUUUUUCAUGUUUUCUUAAAACAAUACUCACGUGCCUAUAUGUACAGUUAAAGACUUAUUGGUUGCUGUAUUUGUUUCUCCUGUCCACACUAGCCAUGAAAAGUUUCAAUUUAAUACAGUUUCAAUUUAAGUAAAAAUCUACAAUCCUCAUUCUGUGCAAAAAUGCAUUCCAAAGUUCAGGUGAAGCUAAUAUGAGGCUUCAGAAGUCUGAAUUAAACAGAACAACCUCUUUGUUUUACUAUCCCUCUGUUGCAGCUCAGCAAGGAAACACUGUCUCUGGAAACAAAAAGGGAGGACUUCAUACGGAAAAGACAGUAACUUUGGAAAAUACCUACUUGAUUUGACUAAUUAACACCUAAUUUUAGCUUCAGCUGAACUUUGGAAUAUAUUUUUGCACAAAAAGAGGGCUGUGGAUUUUGUCCUCCAUCACUUACAUUGGAGGCAUGUUAGGACGGGAUCUCGUCACAGCCAGUAUGGACGGGAGGAAUGAUUACAGAGACUGUUUCACUGUAUACAUGGGCAUGUGAGUAAUGUUUUGAGAUAGACUUCGAAAAAUGUGAGAUAUUUGAUGCCAUUUAAGGUCAUCCUUUUAACAUAAUGAAAAUCUAGACUAUUUAGAGAUUGGUCUGGACUUUAAAAAUGACUCAACCCUUUAAUCUGUAUUAAAACUCACAUAUGUACUGUAGAUAUUUCAUAGUCUACUCUGUCAUUAAUGUUACUGUUACAUGCUUAAAAAGAAGAAGAUCUGUUUCAUCUCUGGAGUAUCUUUUUAUGGUGAAGCGUGUGGGGCAGUAGUGAAAGAAACUGUGUGUGUGCAUAUACUAUAUGUGUGUAUAUGUGAAAACAUAAUCUUCUUCUGUGUUAGUGAAGCUGUCAGUGAGGCUGCUGGUUGGUCAGCGUCUGCUUUCACCUAAAACUCCCCCUGUGCGUUUACAGCGUGUCUGUUUUAGGACUGAAUGGAUGAACCCAGCCAUGUCCAUCCACCUGCCCUGUUUCCUGUCUGAUUAAUCUUCUGUGUGUGUGUGUGUUUGUGUGUGUCUGCUUGCAUGUGUGUGUCUUUGUUUGUAUGUGUGCCUGUGUGUAAAUGGUUAUAGAUGGGGCGACACCACUACACUGGCAGUCUGAAUCAUUACUCACAAAGAUAGGGAGAGACCCAGGGCCGAGGAACCCCUAACAUCCUCCUCCUUCCUACACAGGCACACACACAUAUACAUGCGUGCACACACACAUAUCCCCAGGUUAUUCAUUUCUAAGCAAAGUGCCUGCCAUUUCACCCCCCCUAUUAAGAGGCCGAAGCUCUAGGUUCCCUUUUGGAGAGGGGGAGUGAGGGAUGGUUUUCGAUUGGGCCUUAUACUCUUUGUUUGCACCCUUCCUCUUUGCCUGUACUCUCAUCAUUUCUCUUAAUCUUUCAUUUCCAUCUCUUUCUCCCUCUCUCUGUGUUUUUCUCUCUUCUUCUCGCUUUCUUUCUAGGAAACUGUCUGCCCCCCGUGACAGCUAUGAAAAAAUACCUCUGCUAAAUUACAGUAUGUAAUGAUUAUCAGCAGCAACUAGCCUCUAGAGUUGUAGUAAAAGUUCCCAACACCAAUGUACAUGACAGAAUUCACAUUGAUGAUGGACAUUUAGGGAGUUCCUGGAAAAGUCAAUGAACCUUGACUAGACUCUGAUACUUCAGUCUGGUGGAGAUGCCCUCUAAUAAGCAUAAUUAAUGAUAGUAAGCAUAGCAGGCAGGUUCAUCAUGCUCCCAUAUCGAAAUCAAUGCUGCCGUGCUAACCCCAUUCAGUGGGAUCAGUUUAGGGAAGGUGAAACAUUCAGAGAAACUCUUUAUAAAUGUAGAAGUUAGCAAUAGAUUUUAAGUUUCUGGCAGUUUCCUUGGUAUAUAUAUAAUAACCAUUUGGGAUUUAUAACAAAUCUUUUCCCAGUUGCACCCGGUUGCAGUUAUUUGGUUUCUUAUUUUGUCUCUUUCCAGGUUCAGGGGGAGCCCUAGCUUUGUGGAAUAUAUGAGAGCAAUUAUAACUCCAUCAGGAAGAGACUGUGGACCUAAACAGAAUGGUAAAAUGGCAAUAUUGUAGAAUAUCCUCAUUGGAAACUCAGAGAAAGCACAGAGAUAGAAAAUGUGUGUCGUGUGUGUUCAUACAUUUGAUUUCAGAAAAGGUGUGUUUGGGGUCCUCAGUGCUUGAACACGUCGUCUGCUGUUUAUAGUGUAUAUGCAUGAGUAUAUGUGUCUGUAGCAGUAUGUGUGCAUGUGUUGGAAGGGGGUAUGUAUGUACAGGAAGAGAGCCUGUAAAUAAAUCUGUUUGGGGAUUGGGGGUGUGGGGAUGAAAUAUGGUCCCAGGGAUGUGGAGCAAUGUGAAAAACUCGGCAUCGCCAGGGAAUAACAAAUCUCCUGAUGUCGCCUUGCCGCAAAAUAAAUACACUCCCCCGUACAAGUCAUCCAUCUGGACUAUGAGUCGCAACAAAGACGCCCCCAAUACAUCCCCAACGCACCCCAACACACACACACACACACACACACACACACACACACACACACACACACACACACACACACACACACACACACACUGUCCACACAUACACCCAACAGCCAUCCCACACAGCAGUCAUAUUUAUUUACACAUUUAUUUAUUUGUUUGUUUGUUGAAUUAAAUGGGAACUACUAGUGGGGGAUGGGAAAUUGUUAUUUGUUGUUUUUAAUGAUCUAAUGAUCGAUCACGGGGGAUUAAAUAAUUAAAUUCCAGCCUUGACAAUUUAAAAGUCUCCCCACACGUAGUUGACUGAAUGAGGAAAGAGGGAAAGAUGAAAGAUUCCGCCUGCAGCAAUGUAUCAGAAAGAUUCAACAUCUAAUACAUUACAGGGAGAAAGCGUGCACGCACGUGUGUGUGUUAGCAUAGGGCUGUACAGUUUUUAGCUUAUGUGCAUGCACGUACACACACACGCUCUGCUGUCUUUUCCUGACAUAUAGGCUUUAGUAAGUACAUUCAACUAACCAUAUAGGCCCACCAGAUUCUUCUUCACUUUCCUUAUUUGGGCCUCUUCUCCCAGACACUUCCAUUACUACAACCACUGCAGCACUAAAAGCUCACACGUGGGGCAAUAUGUAUCUGUGUCUGUAUGUACUUACAAUAAAGGGAUGAGAUGUUUGCCACUUUGUUGUUUUCUUUAAAAUUCAGUUUUUCGUUUUCCAAUUAAGGUCUAUUCUUUUGGCUUAAUUAGGUCAUGAUGAGCUGUGUCACGUUUGUGUGUGUGUGAGGGUCAUUCUGUCCCUCCCAGGGAUAAAUAUUAGCCCUCGUUGUUUGCAAAUAGGUGAUGUAUGGUGGCCAUAUCUCUCGGUGCUGAAUGUUUUUUAGAAAUUUCCUCUCCUUUAUCAAUUGACUAACAAACCCAUGUAUCACUGCCACUCUCUCCUACUCCCCACAUAAAUUAAAUAGCCGUCUCUCUCUCUCUCUCUCUCCCUCUCUUCUACUUCUCACUUUUUCUCUCAUCUGUUCCUCCAUGCUCCCCAAUUCCUUUUUCAUUACUCCUUUUAGCUUUAUUCGUUUUAUUACAUAUUGUACAUUUUAUAUUGGUUAACUUGUUUCACAAACACACUCACCCUCACAUCAAAUCUACAGCAGUCAGCGUAGAUGUGGGUGUAAUAAUAAUGCAGUUACAUACGUCUCAAUUGCAAAUUUUCCUGUAAUGUGAUGGAGACUAUAAAGGUGCUUUUCACUGAUUACCACUUUGCCUCCAGCAUAUUAUUUGAUGUACUCAUCAUCAGGCGACAUUUGACGUACUUAAGGACGGAUUGUCAUAACUGAAAAUAUGUUUACUCGUUCCUGUUUAUCACUGUGAUGCUCUCUAAAUCUGCUGUCUUUCAGAAUGGACGGUGGGUAAAGAGCUACAGGCUGGAGCUGGGCGGGUUCCUCUCUGUCAGAUGAUGAUGACAGGAGGCCGAUUAUGCCAGAGUGCCAUAUUGUAAACUACUCAUCAUUAGCGAGCCCAUCCCGGCUAACGACCGCACUGGAGAUAAACAGGGGUGAUGUGGAGAGCCAUCUUAAUCAGGAGGGCCGUUUGAGAGUGGGGCUCUGUCAUUACGCACAGCUGUAUCACACCAGGAUAUGGGAGAUGUUGAGCUGUAAAGCUGUACUGUGAAGCUGGCUCAGGCCCCAGCCUUGAGCUCCGCAGGGGUUCAGUGUUGUUCUGAUCGCCCCUUUAAAUCCAUAAUGAUCAAGAAUAGAAAGAUAAGUGCCUAAAACAGCCAGCCAAGUUAAAUUAUUAUCUGCCAUUGAAGGUCUCUAGUCACAGCCUCCCAGGGACGCUCACGAACUUCAGUCAAUAGCAUGAGGGGUGGGGUGAGAUGAGUUGAAUUUGUAGUUUAUGUGAAUCCCACUCCCUCGCUCCUUCUGUCUCCUCCGCUCUGUUUAUACACAAUACUCCCUUUUCUACCCGUCUCCUUUUCCAAAAUCAUCAGUGGCUUCAGGGAGAAAACAAACAGAUCUCUAAUCAUGAGAA